UACGGCCACAUUGGGACUGAGAUACGGCCCAGACUCCUGCGGAGGCAGCAGUGGGGAAUAUUGCACAAUGGGCGCAAGCCUGAUGCAGCGACGCCGCGUGAGGGAUGACGGCCUUCGGGUUGUAAACCUCUUUCGCUGGGGACGAAGCUUUUUUGGUGACGGUACCUGGAGAAGAAGCACCGGCUAACUACGUGCCAGCAGCCGCGGUAAUACGUAGGGUGCGAGCGUUGUCCGGAAUUACUGGGCGUAAAGAGCUCGUAGGUGGUUUGUCGCGUCGUCUGUGAAAUUCCGGGGCUUAACUUCGGGCGUGCAGGCGAUACGGGCAUAACUUGAGUGCUGUAGGGGAGACUGGAAUUCCUGGUGUAGCGGUGAAAUGCGCAGAUAUCAGGAGGAACACCGAUGGCGAAGGCAGGUCUCUGGGCAGUAACUGACGCUGAGGAGCGAAAGCAUGGGUAGCGAACAGGAUUAGAUACCCUGGUAGUCCAUGCCGUAAACGGUGGGCGCUAGGUGUGGGGGUCUUCCACGACUUCUGUGCCGUAGCUAACGCUUUAAGCGCCCCGCCUGGGGAGUACGGCCGCAAGGCUAAAACUCAAAGGAAUUGACGGGGGCCCGCACAAGCGGCGGAGCAUGUGGAUUAAUUCGAUGCAACGCGAAGAACCUUACCUGGGCUUGACAUAUGCAGGAUCGCGCCAGAGAUGGUGUUUCCCUUGUGGCUUGUAUACAGGUGGUGCAUGGUUGUCGUCAGCUCGUGUCGUGAGAUGUUGGGUUAAGUCCCGCAACGAGCGCAACCCUUGUCUUAUGUUGCCAGCACGUGAUGGUGGGGACUCAUGAGAGACUGCCGGGGUCAACUCGGAGGAAGGUGGGGAUGACGUCAAAUCAUCAUGCCCCUUAUGUCCAGGGCUUCACACAUGCUACAAUGGUCGGUACAGUGGGUUGCGAGACCGUGAGGUGGAGCGAAUCCCUUUGAAAGCCGGCCUCAGUUCGGAUUGGGGUCUGCAACUCGACCCCAUGAAGUCGGAGUCGCUAGUAAUCGCAGAUCAGCAAUGCUGCGGUGAAUACGUUCCCGGGCCUUGUACACACCGCCCGUCACGUCAUGAAAGUUGGUAACACCCGAAGCCCAUGGC
rnacentral:rRNA from 1 species